rnacentral:rRNA from 1 species
GUGGGGAAUCUUGCGCAAAUGCGGGAAACCGUGACGCAGCGACGCCGCGUGGGGGAAGAAGGCCUUCGGGUUGUAAACCUCUUUCAGGGGGGACGAAGCUACUCGGGUUAAUAGCCCAGAGGGUGACGGUACCUUCAGAAGAAGCCCCGGCUAACUACGUGCCAGCAGCCGCGGUAAUACGUAGGGGGCAAGCGUUGUCCGGAUUUAUUGGGCGUAAAGAGCGUGUAGGCGGCCAGACAAGUCUGCUGUGAAAACUCGAGGCUCAACCUCGAGCUGUCGGCGGAAACUGUUUGGCUAGAGUCCGGAAGAGGAGAGUGGAAUUCCUGGUGUAGCGGUGAAAUGCGCAGAUAUCAGGAAGAACACCUAUGGCGAAGGCAGCUCUCUGGGACGGUACUGACGCUGAGACGCGAAAGCGUGGGGAGCGAACAGGAUUAGAUACCCCUGUAGUCC